CCUGGAUCAAUCUUUACCAUUAGUCUAGGAGAUGCUGCUGAUAGGAGGUAGGAAGAUAUUUUUCAUGAAAUUUAUCUUUCAUUUCAUCUCAGGUACUUAUGGGCUCCUGUCUCCUAUAUAUAGCUAAUCACUCCAUAUUUCUUCUUAUUAUGCCAAUAUAAUUUGGCUUGAUCUAAAAGUCUCAUUUUAGCGAACAUGAUUUUUCUCUUCUCAGACAUAUCGUAUCAUUCAAAAUAAUGAUACAUGUUUGCCUCCCAAUCA
rnacentral:lncRNA from 1 species